rnacentral:rRNA from 1 species
UUAAGCGACUAAGCGUACACGGUGGAUGCCCUGGCAGUCAGAGGCGAUGAAGGACGUGCUAAUCUGCGAUAAGCGUCGGUAAGGUGAUAUGAACCGUUAUAACCGGCGAUUUCCGAAUGGGGAAACCCAGUGUGAUUCGUCACACUAUCAUUAACCUGAAUCCAUAGGUUAAUGAUGGCGAACCGGGGGAACUGAAACAUCUAAGUACCGCCGAGGAAAAGGAAAUCAACCGAGAUUCCCCAGUAGCGGCGAGCGAACGGGGAGCAGCCCCAGAGCCUGAAUCAGUGUGUGUGUUAGUGGAAGCGUCUGGAAAGGCGCGCGGAUACAGGGGGUGACAGCCCGUACACAAAAAUGCACACAUACUGUGAGCUCGAUUGAGUAGGGCGGACACGUGGUAUCCUGUCUGAAUAUGGGGGGGACCAUUCCUCCAAGGCUAAAUACUCCUGACUGACCGAUAGUGAACCAGUACCGUGAGGGAAAGGCGAAAAGAACCCCGGCGAGGGGAGUGAAAAAGGAACCUUGAAAACCGUGUACGUACAAGCAGUGGGAGCACAGAGCAAUCUGUGUGACUGCGUACCUUUUGUAUAAUGGGUCAGCGACUUAUAUUCUGUAGCAAGGUUAACCGAAUAGGGGAGCCGAAGGGAAACCGAGUCUUAACUGGGCGUUAAGUUGCAGGGUAUAGACCCGAACCCGGGUGAUCUAGCCAUGGGCAGGUUGAAGGUUGGGUAACACUAACUGGAGGACCGAACCGACUAAUGUUGAAAAAUUAGCGGAUGACUUGUGGCUGGGGGUGAAAGGCCAAUCAAACCGGGAGAUAGCUGGUUCUCCCCGAAAGCUAUUUAGGUAGCGCCUCGUGAAUUCAUCUCCGGGGGUAGAGCACUGUUUCGGCAAGGGGGUCAUCCCGACUUACCAACCCGAUGCAAACUGCGAAUACCGGAGAAUGUUAUCACGGGAGACACACGGCGGGUGCUAACGUCCGUCGUGAAGAGGGAAACAACCCAGACCGCCAGCUAAGGUCCCAAAGUCAUGGUUAAGUGGGAAACGAUGUGGGAAGGCCCAGACAGCCAGGAUGUUGGCUUAGAAGCAGCCAUCAUUUAAAGAAAGCGUAAUAGCUCACUGGUCGAGUCGGCCUGCGCGGAAGAUGUAACGGGGCUAAACCAUGCACCGAAGCUGCGGCAGCGGACGCUUAUGCGUUGUUGGGUAGGGGAGCGUUCUGUAAGCCUGUGAAGGUGUGCUGUGAGGCAUGCUGGAGGUAUCAGAAGUGCGAAUGCUGACAUAAGUAACGAUAAAGCGGGUGAAAAGCCCGCUCGCCGGAAGACCAAGGGUUCCUGUCCAACGUUAAUCGGGGCAGGGUGAGUCGACCCCUAAGGCGAGGCCGAAAGGCGUAGUCGAUGGGAAACAGGUUAAUAUUCCUGUACUUGGUGUUACUGCGAAGGGGGGACGGAGAAGGCUAUGUUGGCCGGGCGACGGUUGUCCCGGUUUAAGCGUGUAGGCUGGUUUUCCAGGCAAAUCCGGAAAAUCAAGGCUGAGGCGUGAUGACGAGGCACUACGGUGCUGAAGCAACAAAUGCCCUGCUUCCAGGAAAAGCCUCUAAGCAUCAGGUAACAUCAAAUCGUACCCCAAACCGACACAGGUGGUCAGGUAGAGAAUACCAAGGCGCUUGAGAGAACUCGGGUGAAGGAACUAGGCAAAAUGGUGCCGUAACUUCGGGAGAAGGCACGCUGAUAUGUAGGUGAAGUCCCUCGCGGAUGGAGCUGAAAUCAGUCGAAGAUACCAGCUGGCUGCAACUGUUUAUUAAAAACACAGCACUGUGCAAACACGAAAGUGGACGUAUACGGUGUGACGCCUGCCCGGUGCCGGAAGGUUAAUUGAUGGGGUUAGCGCAAGCGAAGCUCUUGAUCGAAGCCCCGGUAAACGGCGGCCGUAACUAUAACGGUCCUAAGGUAGCGAAAUUCCUUGUCGGGUAAGUUCCGACCUGCACGAAUGGCGUAAUGAUGGCCAGGCUGUCUCCACCCGAGACUCAGUGAAAUUGAACUCGCUGUGAAGAUGCAGUGUACCCGCGGCAAGACGGAAAGACCCCGUGAACCUUUACUAUAGCUUGACACUGAACAUUGAGCCUUGAUGUGUAGGAUAGGUGGGAGGCUUUGAAGUGUGGACGCCAGUCUGCAUGGAGCCGACCUUGAAAUACCACCCUUUAAUGUUUGAUGUUCUAACGUUGACCCGUAAUCCGGGUUGCGGACAGUGUCUGGUGGGUAGUUUGACUGGGGCGGUCUCCUCCUAAAGAGUAACGGAGGAGCACGAAGGUUGGCUAAUCCUGGUCGGACAUCAGGAGGUUAGUGCAAUGGCAUAAGCCAGCUUGACUGCGAGCGUGACGGCGCGAGCAGGUGCGAAAGCAGGUCAUAGUGAUCCGGUGGUUCUGAAUGGAAGGGCCAUCGCUCAACGGAUAAAAGGUACUCCGGGGAUAACAGGCUGAUACCGCCCAAGAGUUCAUAUCGACGGCGGUGUUUGGCACCUCGAUGUCGGCUCAUCACAUCCUGGGGCUGAAGUAGGUCCCAAGGGUAUGGCUGUUCGCCAUUUAAAGUGGUACGCGAGCUGGGUUUAGAACGUCGUGAGACAGUUCGGUCCCUAUCUGCCGUGGGCGCUGGAGAACUGAGGGGGGCUGCUCCUAGUACGAGAGGACCGGAGUGGACGCAUCACUGGUGUUCGGGUUGUCAUGCCAAUGGCACUGCCCGGUAGCUAAAUGCGGAAGAGAUAAGUGCUGAAAGCAUCUAAGCACGAAACUUGCCCCGAGAUGAGUUCUCCCUGACUCCUUGAGAGUCCUGAAGGAACGUUGAAGACGACGACGUUGAUAGGCCGGGUGUGUAAGCGCAGCGAUGCGUUGAGCUAACCGGUACUAAUGAACCGUGAGGCUUAACCU